GAAAGGAUAUAAUGGUAAUUAUGUGAGAGGUGCACGUGUGUGUGUAGCGCGAGAAGCGGGGGAUUCCUCCCCCACCUUUAUCUUUUUCCCAGGGAGAAUAAUUCUCCCAUUUCUCUCCCUCACUCUUCGGCUCACUGUCUCUCUCUCUCCUCCGAAAUUUUUUUCUCCUCUCUUCUCUCUUCGAUUUCAUCCACCUAGGGUGAGAUUCUGGACAAGGCCCGAGUAUUAAAGUUGUUCUACGGAGCGCGGGCUUUCCGAAUAUCCAAGAAAAAUUACGAUCGGGCCACGUGAGAACUCGGUUGACUUGGUCAAAGGGUUGGGUUUUGCUCAAAACCCAUGAGGUAGGGAUUUCUUACGCUUGUUAUGCGUUUGUAUGUUGAUUAUGUUGAUAGAUCGUGCUUAAAAUCGUUGUUUGAGACUAUCCCUUUCAUUUCCGAAAUUCUGCAGAACAGGGUCUUCGUUGUUGGGGUUUUCUGCCGCCUUAAGCUCAUAAUUGAAUUUUGGUUCCUUCGUAUGAAAUAGAGUAGACUUAAAGCCCGUUCUAAUGCCGCUGGAAUCACUUGAAACCGUUGAGAAUUGAAUUUAUGGUGAUAUCUAGAAUACUGGUCUGCAAUCUGUCUCGUUUUCUGGGUUUCAGCCCACUUCGAACGACCAUAACUUCCUCGUCCGAUGUUCGUUUUAUGCAAACUUUAUAUCGGUUCGAAGACCUCGAAGUCAGCUUUCAUUCGCCACUGGAAUCGUCUUAAAACUCUUAGUACACAAAAAGUUAUGAUCGAUUGAGUGGAGGUAUGUCAAUCUGUCAGGCAGAUUCGUGUAGCCUCGGUAAACCCCUGUUUAAUCACCCUUGGAGUGCAGAUUUGACUAGGGUUCCUUUGCGUCUUUCAAAGUUCAUUCAAUCGCCCAACUAUUGAGACUGGAAUCACUCAAAAAUAUUAAGAACUCGAUUUAUAGUGAUUUGUAGAAGAUUGCCUUGUAAUCUGAAAAUCUGGGCAGCUCACUGAGCAGUGUUCUUCAUUGAUUAGCUAUGGUUAAACGACCCUAUUGGUUAUGGGUCCUUGUAGGUUUUAAAGAUGGGUAAGUUGGUGAUGUUUUGGCAUUGGAAUCAUUGAAAGUUAUUGAGUAUGCUAUUUUUAAUAAAUUUUUGAACACGAACUACUCUGCUGAAAAUUAGAAUAUUUGACAAUCAUUCCUAAGCUUGAAAGAUCGUAUCGUACGACUCGUCGAACGUAUCUGGGCCAUUGGUUUUUCGUUAGCAUAGUUGGAGUAUCGUCGUAAAGGCUAUAGUAGCGUGAAGGAGUCCGUGAACGUCGUAGACUAUAAGAAAUGUUGUGACGUGCUUAAUUGGUAGAGGAGUACUUGUUUGAUUAAAAUGAUUAAAUGACUUUUGGAUUCGAUUGAAUGAUUUGAUGUUUGUGGAACGCGGAAUGAACGUGAUGACAAAUAGUCACAAAGAGAUCUUUCAGGGCUCUUCAAUGAGUAAAUGCCUGGCAGGAGCUAUAUGCUCAAAUCGUAUAAUUUCAGGGCUCUUAAAUGAGUAAAUGCCUGGCAGGAGCUAUAUGCUCAAAUCGUAUAAUUUCAGGGCUCUUAAAUGAGUAAAUGCCUGGCAGGAGCUGUAUGCUCAAAUCGUACGCUUUCAGGGCUCGUUAUCGAGUAAGUGCCUGGCAGGAGCUUAGGCUCAGACACAUGACAUGAAAUUGGUUUAUGAAGUUGAUGAAAGAGAUUCUGGCGACUGAUGAUAAUGAGAAAUGGGAUUUGGUGAUGAAAUGUGGAAUGUGAAAGAUUGUGAAAUUGUACGAGAUGUAAUGAAUGGUACUAAGGCUGUUGUUUAUUUACUUAGAAUGAUGUAGGAAUAUUGAUGGUCCUUGUUUGACAUAUGAGCAGAUAGAUCCUUCAUAUAGGUCGCCUAGAAUCCCUGAUCAUAGUGUGCUACUGUUGACAGUCUUGUGUACUUGGGCUUAUCUGUCGUUACACUCUCACUCUAGAUGCAUAACUCAUCAUAUUUUCCUAUAACUUGCGUAUAGAUUUCUCUACUGGGCACGUGUAUGCUCAAACCCUAUCAUUUUCAGGUACAAAAAUAAGGAAGUUGGCAUGGCGUGCAUAUCGUGCUUAUUGAUCAUGUCUUUCAAAGGUAUAAAAGAGGCGAUUAUUUGCAUUUGAUUCGAAAGGGGUAUUUUUGGAAAGACAUUUGUUAGAACUGUAAUAUUAUUUUCUUCGGACAUUGGUAUUUCGAUAACUUAGGGCCUCGAGCCAGGGAUGUACUCAUUGAAUUUUAUUUGAGAACAGUGAACAGAAAGGUCUUUUGGGGUAUUAUUUGUAUUACAGUGAGGACUUUAUUUAUUAAAAGUGUUUAUUAUUUAUGUCAAAAAUCGAGGGCGUGACAACUUGGUAUCAGAGCAUAUGUUUAGAAUACCUAGAGACCGUGGGGAGACUUUUAGUCUCAUGGGUUCAAAAUUCGUUGCAUAUUUUUUUUCAAAACACAAGUAUGCUUGCAUGAAUGAGUCGGUACAUUAUUGAGGUGUCGCAUUUUGUAUUAUGGUAGAGUGACAUUGAGUUGUUGACCUGCAUUGGGAAGUUGGAGGCUUGGACCUCAUUGUAGUGAUUGUGGCUAUAUUGACGUGUGAAGCAAAAUAUAAGAUAGCAUGUGAUAAAAGGGAUGGAAUGUUGAUAUGACUUAUGAGAUGAGUGUUAAAUGUGUUUUUAAUUGAAUUGUUUGGAUUAUGUGUUAAGUUUCAAAUGUGUUAAGUUAAGCCUAUGUGAGAUAAACUGUGUAAGGUAUAAGUAUAAGGUGAAUAAUAUAUGCAUUGGGAAUUGAGUUAGUGCGUGUCUUGAAUGUGUUUGGAAGGUAAAGUCGUGUUGUGGUGAUAACUGUGGUUGGUUACUGUAGUGGUAGUUACUGAGACAGUUAAUAUAAGCAUAGGUAGGGCAAGUCGAACCUACAUACGAGAUAUAAGUAUCUAAAGUUGAGAUAAGAAUAUGAGGGUUAUAGGUAGGGUGUUUAGAUACAGUAUGUGUCUCCUGGACACCCAAGCGACUACCGAUGAGAUCCAAUUGGAAGAGGCGCUUGAUCACCGCUCCUUCUAGAUGGAAGUCUCGGAAAGUCAAUUGGACACUAGGAUUGUGUAUAGGUGUUAGAUCUCUAGGCUUGAGAUAGAUGACUCUACGUAGGAAUUUCGUAGAAAAAUGAAGUGUUAUGGUGUCGUAGUCUUCAUUGUUGAGGUGAAUGUCGUGGUGGUGUAGUUUUGAUAGGAUGGUAAAAAAAAAAAAGGAAGAAGACUUGAGGUGAUAGAUUUGAGAGGGACUAAUGUUUAAAUAGUGGUAGUGAUAGCAGUGAUGGUGAUGAGAAUAGUGUGGUUGAUAUUAUUGAGGUUGAGUACAAUUGUGGUAAAUAUCUUUGAGGAAAAUUGAUGUCGUUAUGACUACUUAGUUGAAAGAAGAAAUUUGUUAGCUGUGAAACUUGUGGUGAGCGGAACUGUUAAAAGAUAUUGGUGUGAGAGAAUUGAUUCUUAGGUGAGAAGUAGUUGGAAUCUUAGAAUGUGAUGAGAAGUAUAGACAUGCUGUUUGCAACCCUCUAGUCUUGUUGGUAUUUAGGAAGGAGUUUGUAAAUUUGUUUGUGCUUGUAUUGGUGUUUAAAUUUUGGUAUCGAGAUAAUCAAUAGUUUUGGAAGUUCGUUAGUGCAACUAUUGCACACAUUGUGUAGGUAUUUGGGUGAUGAAAUGCCAUGUGAUUGUAAAGUUGAUAGAGAAAUGAUUAAUAUUGAUGUUGUGUAUUUGUUAUGUGAUAUUUGAGAUUGUGAAAAUGGGAAACAUGUGACUUGAGUAGACUAAUUGACGAGAGUAUUUGAGAUUGAUGGGUGAACAGAACAUGUGAAAGGUAUGAUGAAGUUGAAAAGAACGAGAUUACCAUUGGGCUUUCUAGAGCCAUGAAAUGUGAAUCUGUGGAUACUUUGUGAGUUGGUGAGUCUGCUGGAUACUGAGUGAGUCUAUUAAUGCGUGGAUGUGUUUGGUGUUGUGUAAGCUACUAAAUUGUACCGUGGGUUGUUGAAAUAUUUCGUGAAUGAAAUGUGCUGUUGUUUAGCUUUAACCUACAUGUUUGAUUUAUUAUGUAAUCUCAAUGCGAGAAAUUUGCUUUUAGUAUACGAUGUAGAAUAAACAGUGAUGCUUAUGUGGGUAGUUGCUACGAGUGUAUGCCUUUCCUGAGUAGUAGUAACGAUGUUUGGAGAAUUGGGUUUAAGGAAAAUAGUGGAUUGAUAUUUUACUAGAACGGUUUUAAUGUGUGUUGUGAAAAGUUAUGUAGAAGGGACGCAUUACCAUAGAAGUGAGUUUAAGUUUCCGAAAAUAGAAACCAGUGGUGAUUCUCAGCGGGCUAGGGAAUGUGGAGUAUUGCUAGACUAUUGGUUAUGUUGGAAUGUUGAAUGGACGAAAAAGUAGAUGGGGUUUAAGCCGAGUUGGUAAAAGAGUUAUAUGGGUAGCCAGAGGUGUGAGUUGGUGAUUGUGGCUAGCGGUUUUGUUUAUAUGUGUUUGGUUGUGUUGACAAUUAUUAGCAGAAUCAAUAGAAUUGAAUAAGUUGUGAGGUGUGUUUAUUCUUAAAGUCGAGAGAAAGAUCAAUAGAUUGAAGUAUGGGCAGUUUGACCAUUAUGAGUGGAUGUUUAUAGCUGAGCAAUGGGUGAUGAGUUAUUAUGUGGUUUAGAAUUCGAGGCUUAUUAGUUUUAUUCCAAUGGAGAUUAUUUGAGGUUCUUUGGAUUGGUGAGUAAAGGUUUGAUUCAUUGAUUGAUGUUGAUUGAAAAAGAUAGAACUUGGAGUUUAGAAUUCGAGUUUUUCUGAGCAGCUUAAUUUGUCCUUCUAGAAAUUUCGAGAAA